rnacentral:rRNA from 1 species
AUUGAACGCUGGCGGCAGGCCUAACACAUGCAAGUCGAGCGGAUGAAGGGAGCUUGCUCCUGUAUUCAGCGGCGGACGGGUGAGUAAUGCCUAGGAAUCUGCCUGGUCGUGGGGGAUAACGUCCGUAAACGGGCGCUAAUACCGCAUACGUCCUGAGGGAGAAAGUGGGGGAUCUUCGGACCUCACGCUAUCAGCUGAGCCUAGGUCGGAUUAGCUAGUUGGUGGGGUAAAGGCCUACCAAGGCGACGAUCCGUAACUGGUCUGAGAGGAUGAUCAGUCACACUGGAACUGAGACACGGUCCAGACUCCUACGGGAGGCAGCAGUGGGGAAUAUUGGACAAUGGGCGAAAGCCUGAUCCAGCAAUGCCGCGUGUGUGAAGAAGGUCUUCGGAUUGUAAAGCACUUUAAGUUGGGAGGAAGGGAAGUAAGUGAAUACCUGGCUGUUUUGACGUUACCAAAAGAAUAAGCACCGGCUAACUUCGUG